rnacentral:rRNA from 1 species
ACCUACGGGAGGCAGCAGUGGGGGAUAUUGCACAAUGGGGGAAACCCUGAUGCAGCGACGCCGCGUGUGGGAAGACGGUCCUCUGGAUUGUAAACCACUGUCCCCAGGGACGAAGAUGACGGUACCUGAAGAAGAAGCCCCGGCUAACUACGUGCCAGCAGCCGCGGUAAUACGUAGGGGGCAAGCGUUAUCCGGAUUUACUGGGUGUAAAGGGAGCGUAGACGGCCAGACAAGUCAGAAGUGAAAGCCCAGGGCUCAACCCUGGGACUGCUUUUGAAACUGCCGGGCUGGAGUGCAGGAGAGGG